rnacentral:rRNA from 1 species
GACGAACGCUGGCGGCGUGCCUAAUACAUGCAAGUCGAGCGGAACUGGGGGAGCUUGCUCCUUCCAGUUUAGCGGCGGACGGGUGAGUAACACGUGGGCAACCUGCCCUGCAGAUCGGGAUAACUCCGGGAAACCGGUGCUAAUACCGAAUAGUUUGGCGCCUCUCCUGAGGCGCCACGGAAAGACGGUUUCGGCUGUCACUGCAGGAUGGGCCCGCGGCGCAUUAGCUAGUUGGUGGGGUAACGGCCCACCAAGGCGACGAUGCGUAGCCGACCUGGGCGGGUGAUCGGCCACACUGGGACUGAGACACGGCCCAGACUCCUACGGGAGGCAGCAGUAGGGAAUCUUCCGCAAUGGACGCAAGUCUGACGGAGCAACGCCGCGUGAGUGACGAAGGUUUUCGGAUCGUAAAACUCUGUUGUGAGGGAAGAACACGUACCAACUUACUAUUGGUACCUUGACGGUACCUCACCAGAAAGCCACGGCUAACUACGUGCCAGCCGCCGCCGUAA